UGGGGCGAAAAUCUUCAACAAUGGACGCAAGCCUGACGGAGGGAGGCCGCCUGGAGGAUGAAUGCCUUCCGGUUGUAAAGUCCUGAAAAGGAGGAGGAAGGCCAAGAACAUGCGCCAUCCUUGGAGGACGCACGGGCUAAGUUCAAUGCCAGUACCCAGGUAAAAGCAACCAUGCGAACAUUAUUCGAAAUCACUGGCAUUGCAGCGCGUGUAGGCAGGCCCCAACGUCGGACGGUGAAAAGGACCCUACUUACCGGAGAAGUGGCGCCAAUACGGCAAGUCCUGGGGGAAUGUUGGCGGCCUGGAGAUUCAGGUGAAACAGAGAACUGCGUGACAUCCCUAGGACCGCUGCGGCGGGAACGAGGCCCUGGAGGCUUUUAUGACCAUCGCC
rnacentral:rRNA from 1 species